CCGCGGGGCACGAGAGUGUCAUGAGGAAAGUCCGAGCAUCACAGAGCAGGAUAGCUGAUAACGUCAGCCGAGGGCGACCUUAGGGCAAGUGCAACAGAAAUAUACCGCAGGCUCACUUUGUGGGCGCUGUAAGGGUGGAAAGGCGAGGUAAGAGCUCACCGGAGCGCAGGAGACUGCGCUGCCAUGUAAACCCUAUCCGAUGCAACACCGAUUGGUGCGGAGAGCAACGCGUCUGCUCGGCGCGCUUCGUUGAAAGGUGGCUUGAUCCCGCCGGCGACGGCGGGGCUAGAUAGAUGGUCAUACGCGACAGAACUCGGCUUAUCGAUGAAG
rnacentral:RNase_P_RNA from 1 species